rnacentral:lncRNA from 1 species
UCCAUGAUGUGAUGCUUUUUGUCAUGACAUGUUAAUUAGCAUUCAAUGAUGACCAAUUUGGAAGACAGAAACAGAAUCCCUCAAGUAUUAUUUAUAUGCUAUUUUUUUGACAUGAAUGGGUAAAGUGGGAUCAUCCUUAUUAGGCCAGAACAUUUUUCCCCUCACAAGUUGUAGAACUUGGCUUUAGUUUGCAACAUAUUUC